rnacentral:tRNA from 1 species
GUGGGGUUAUGGCUCAGUGGCAGAAUGCUUGCCUAGCAUGUGUGAGGCCCUGGGUUUGAGUCUCAGCACCACA